CCUACGGGUGGCAGCAGUGAGGAAUAUUGGUCAAUGGCCGCAAGGCUGAACCAGCCAAGUCGCGUGAGUGACGACUGCCCUCUGGGUUGUAAACUUCUUUUAUGAGGGAAGAAUAAAUGCUACGUGUAGCAUGAUGCCUGUACCUUAUGAAUCAGCAUCGGCUAACUCCGUGCCAGCAGCAGCGGUACUACGGAGGAUGCGCGCGUUAUCGGUAUUUAUUUGGUUUAAAGGGUGCGUAGGCGGUUUUUUAAGUUAGUGGUUAAACGUCGGGGCUAGACCUUGAAUUGCCAUUAAUACUGUAAGACUCGAGUUCAGACGAGGUAGGCGGAAGAAGUUAAGUAGCGGUGAAAUGCUUAGAUAUAACGUAGAACUCCGAUAGCGAAGGCAGCUUACCAGACUGCGACUGACGCUGAGGAGCGAAAGCGUGGGUAGCAAACAGGAUUAGAUACCCUUGUAGUC
rnacentral:rRNA from 1 species